rnacentral:rRNA from 1 species
AGAGUUUGAUCCUGGCUCAGGACGAACGCUGGCGGCGUGCCUAAUACAUGCAAGUCGAGCGGGGAUUAUGCUUGAUCGCUUCGGUGAGACGGCAUAUAUCCUAGCGGCGGACGGGUGAGUAACGCGUGGGUAAUCUACCUCGUAGUUCGGGAUAACAGGCCGAAAGGCUUGCUAAUACCGGAUGAGUUCAUGCUUAUGCAUAUAGGCAUGAAGAAAGGGCUAGCCCGCUAUGAGAUGAGCCCGCGUCCCAUUAGCUUGUUGGUGGGGUAAUGGCCUACCGAGGCAACGAUGGGUAGCCGGCCUGAGAGGGUGUACGGCCACACUGGGACUGAGACACGGCCCAGACUCCUACGGGGGGCAGCAGUAGGGAAUUUUCGGCAAUGGGCGAAAGCCUGACCGAGCGACGCCGCGUGAGGGACGAAGGCCUUCGGGUUGUAAACCUCUGUCUGGGGGGAUGAGAACGGACGGUACCCCCGGAGGAAGCCCCGGCUAACUACGUGCCAGCAGCCGCGGUAAU